rnacentral:lncRNA from 1 species
AGUGAUUGGGACCUCUAUUCUUUGAGCCUACACAUCUAGGAGCAAAUUCAAAAAUCCAAACUUCAAGUACUCUCAUGGAGACGCACUAGGAUUGGCUAGGACCUCCGUUUUAUGAGCCUCCGUGACUAUGGUGGAAAAUCUGAAAAUCCAAACUCCAGGUACUCUCACGGAGACGACCCAAGAUUGACCAGAACUUUUAUCCUACGAGCCUGUAUAGCUAGGGAGAAAAACCCAGAGAUCCAAACUUCAAGUACUCCUAUGGAGACAUCCAAAGAUUUACUAGGACCUCCAUUUUAGCAGCCAAAAUCCGAUGAAAAGUCCUAGUAU